rnacentral:rRNA from 1 species
AUUGAACGCUGGCGGCAGGCCUAACACAUGCAAGUCGAACGAGUGGCGGACGGGUGAGUAACGUCUGGGAAACUUCCCGAUGGAGGGGGAUAACCACUUGAAACGGUAUCUUAUACCGCAUACCAUCGUAUUUGCCCAGAUGGGAUUAGCUGGUGGGGGGGGUACCGGCUCACCGAGGCGACGAUCCCUAGCUGGUCUGAGAGGAUGACCAGCCACAUUGGAACGGAGCAACGGUCCAGCUCCCUCGGGGAGGCGUAAGGGGGGAAUAUUGGACAAGGAGGGAAGGCCUAAGGAAGCAAUGCGGCGUGUAUGUGGAAGGCCUUCGGGUGGUAAAGUACUUUCAGCGAGGAGGCGUUACUCGCAGAGGAAGCCCCGGCUAACUCCGUGCCAGCAGCCGCGGUAAUUC